AUGAGAUUUAAUAGAAAUGCUACUGCUCUCCGCCCUGGGAUUUUCGCCAUACGAUUUGUGCUCAAAGCAAUGAAAAAUCCUCACGAAGAAGCUAAAACACAGCAAAAUACUGACGAAGGCCCUGCUGAAGAGCAUGCAAUCCAGCAAGCUCCUGUCAAAGGACACGAAGACGGUGAUAUUCAAAGCGCAGAAACAGGCAGCAUGUCUCCUCAUUCAUCAGAAAAGGACACAGAACAAAACAUGAGGAACAAACCACCUGCGGAAGAAAUGAUAACUUACACCAGGCUCAACAGGAACAAACAUCUAGCAACAAGCAAAAAAAAGAGGAAAUCAGAUACAAGCACUGUUUUUACUCCUGGAGCAAAAAGGCAAAAGCAAAAGGACAAUGCUGAAAACAUCAUCGACACUAGAACAUUGCAGCAUCAGCCAUUACCUCUAAUGGUACUCCCGCCAACAGCACCAACCGCCAUGAAGAAACAAGGUGAACGCAAGAAGAAAAACAAACGACAAAGGGUAGAAAAAGAACAAGACGAUACCAACAACAAAGGUUCAGAUACCAAUGAUGACGAUGAUGACAGGGAACAUGAUGCAGAUUUCAUUCCUACAGAUGACGAUGAUGUCGAAGAGCAUGACAGCGACGCAGAACAUGACGAUGAUAACAAAUCAGGACAGAAGGACAGAAAGAGGAGAAAGACAGGCGGAAAAGAAUUGGCAGCACCAACAGUUGACGAAGAACAGCAAGAAACAAACGAAGAGAAAUGCCAAAUCAAGGCAGGGGCAGCAUUCGCUCAUGUCAAGAAAGCAUGGAAUUUACUUAAAGACCGUCACAAGGAAGAUAUUAGGACGGCAGGAUUUGGCAGCAUAGAGAACUGCAAAAUAAAGGGCUCCAUCUGCAGACCACUUGCAGCACACAUCUACGACAACCUGGACACAGAAAGCAUGACAAUCACCUUCGGUGAUGGUACCGAAGACAAGAAAAUCAAGAUUACCAAGGAAGCUAUACACAAGGUGUUUGGAUACCCAAACGGCACGGAAAAGUCAGCACCAAGGCCUGCGAAGAGCCCAACUUCAAUGAAAGAACUGAUGUUAGACCUUGGCUUCAAACAUACAAAUUUCAAGCCAAAAGAACUGUUCAGGUAG
rnacentral:rRNA from 1 species